GCCUUUCUUUCUUCGUUUCUGUUUCUGCCCUAUUAGUUCUUUCUGUUUACAGAUGGGCCUUUCAGUCCCAAGAUGAUACAUUCAUGAAGAGUAUUACUAUCAAGGGAGACAAGAGGUUGUUUUUUUUUUUUUAAAUCGAAAUUUUAUUCAUCCCGAUAACUGGGGAUUCAGUUCGAACAAAAUUUCCCAAUUCUAAGUAUUACAACCUAGCUUCGCCCACCCACUAAACCCGACACAUUCCGCUAGAUCGUUUUUAUUAUCCUUAGGAAUCGGUCGCCCUUCUCAACCAUCAACGAUGACCAUAGGAAAGUGAGGUUCUCCUCGUUGCCUCGGAUGCCGGGAGUUCCUAUGUCGUCUCCGGAGUAGCUAGCUACCGAUGAACGCCUCGAAGCUUACAAACGUCACUGUCCAUGAAGUGCUAGACGAGCAAGAGAGGAAGGUUACCCUUACCGAGAAGUUCGAGAAACCAGCUAGAGCCUCCAAUGCCGCCAGGAACCAAGCAAAAAGCGAGAUGACCUAACCGCCACACCCUGCCCAGAAUACUCCUAAACCUGCAAGGAAAGACCCAGAACACCACCGCAACAGAUCAAGCGAACUCUUACGGUUCGGGAGGCGAACUAAAACCAAAUGUUGACACGGAGACGGUCAAUGACUCUCCCGAGAACCAUCUCCACAUUUGUGAUCAAAGUCCAAGCUGUGAAACCCAUGUACCGGUGUCAACGGACAAGGAAACAAGGAGUACAAGCCAAGUGCUAAGAGGCCUCUUAACACCUGGAAGGACUAGGAUGAGUGCCUUGACAAGAAGAUCCGAGAUGACGAAGCAAGACCCGCAGCCUCCAAAGGCCAUAGACGACCUUCGAAAUCCACCGGUGAACGGAGGAUACAUCUACGAACCUCACCCACACGAGCCUGAGGAGAGCACGGCACCAAUACCACUUACGUACCAAGCUGUCAAAGACCCGCCUCUGAGUUGAAAACCACAAGAGACCACCUAACUAACGAGAACAAGAGCCGGACCUCUCCGACACCGAAAGGGGCACGAACUCUAAACCCGAGAAGAAGACUGAAACCACAGCCCUAGAGUGGCGGAGACCACCGAGAGACAAGAGCAUAGCUUCAGCCCUUCACUUCAAGCCAACGACGAAGAGGAAUUGUAGAUCUGAAAACUGAAAAUCGAUCUACUCCCAUCUCAAAAGCCGACUCCUCCAUGAACCACCUCUUCACGAACCUCACCGAAGCUCCAGACGCAGCUGAGACGUCACCGGCGAUGAGCUCUUCGCGAGCAGAGCCCCUCCACCGAUUAGAACCUCUACACCAGAACCUGCGAUUUGUCGGAAGGAAAGCGAAUGGACAUGGAGAAGCACAAAUAAAGACGAAGGAAAGAAGAACGAGCGCCUCCGGCGACGAUCGUCACGGUCACGCGCGAGUCUUCGAUCAAAAGAUCCCAUAGACCACAAUUUUUCUUGUGUCUUCUAUUCUUUGUUGUUUUU
rnacentral:lncRNA from 1 species